AGUGAACGCUGGCGGCAGGCCUAACACAUGCAAGCCGAACGGCCGCACCGUAAGCGCUUGCUCUUACGGGUGGCGAGUGGCGGACGAGUGACGCAUACAUCGGAAUCUACUUUUUCGUGGGUGAUAACGUAGGGAAACUUACGCUAACACCGCACACGACCUACGGGUGAAAUCAGGGGAUCUCCGCACCCUGCCCGAUUGACUGCGCUGAUGCCGGAUUAGCUAGUUGGCGGGGUAACGGCCCACCAAGGCGACGAUCCGUAGCCGGCCUGAGAGGAUGAUCAGCCACACUGGAACUGAGACACGGUCCAGACUCCUACGGGAGGCAGCAGUGGGGAAUAUUGGACAAUGGGCGCAAGCCUGACCCAGCCAUACCGCGUGAGUGAAGAAGGCCUUCGGGUUGUAAAGCCCUUUUGUUGGGAAAGAAAAGCAGCAGGAUAAUACCCCGCCGUUCUGACGGUACCCAAAGAAUAAGCACCGGCUAACUUCGUG
rnacentral:rRNA from 1 species